UACGAAGGGGGCUAGCGUUGCUCGGAAUCACUGGGCGUAAAGCGCACGUAGGCGGCUUUUAAGUCAGGGGUGAAAUCCUGGAGCUCAACUCCAGAACUGCCUUUGAUACUGGGAAGCUCGAGUCCGGGAGAGGAGAGUGGAAUUCCUGGUGUAGCGGUGAAAUGCGCAGAUAUCAGGAAGAACACCCGUGGCGAAAGCGGCUCUCUGGAACGGUACUGACGCUGAGACGCGAAAGCGUGGGGAGCGAACAGG
rnacentral:rRNA from 1 species